rnacentral:rRNA from 1 species
ACGAACGCUGGCGGGCGCGCUUAACAACAUGCAAGUCGAACGGUGGAACCGGGCUUCGGCCCGGGGAUCAGUGGCGAACGGGGUGCGUAACACGUGGGCAACCUGCCCCUCACUCUGGGGAUAACCCCGGGGAAAACCGGAAGGCUAGAGAGCUAAUACCGGAUUACUCCGAACGGGAUCGCAUGGGUCCGGUCGGGAAAAGGUCCGCCGGUGAGGGAUGGGCCCGCGGCCUAUCAGCUUGUUGGUGAGGGUAACGGCUCACCAAGGCGACGACGGGUAGCUGGUCUGAGAGGACGACCAGCCACACUGGGACUGAGGAUACGGCCCAGGACCUCCUACGGGAGGCAGCAGUGGGGGAAUCUUGCGCAAUGGGCGAAAGCCUGACGCAGGCGGACCGCCGCGUGGGGGACGAAGGCCCUCGGUGUUUGUAAACCCCUUUCGGCAGGGGACGAAGCGGUUCCGGUGACGGUACCUGCAGAAGAAGCCUCGGCUAACUACGUGCCAGCAGCCGCGGGUAAGGACGUAGGAGGCGAGCGUUGUCCGGAUUUCAUUGGGCGCGUAAAGAGCACGGUAGGCGGUUUUGGCAAGUCGGAUGUGAAAACCAGAAGCUCAACUUCUGGCCUGCAUCCGAUAACUGCCCGAACUAAGAGGUAGGUAGGGGGAGAUCGGAAUUCCUGGUGUAGCGGUGAAAUGCGCAGAGAUAUCAGGAGGAACACCGGUGGCGAAGGCGGAUCUUCUGGGGCCUUACCUGACGCUCAGGUGCGAAAGCUAGGGGGAGCGAACAGGAUUAGAUACCCUGGUAGUCCUAGCCGUAAAACGUUGGGUGCUAGGUGUGGGCGGACAUCAACCCCGUCCCGUGCCAAAGCUAACGCAUAUAUAUAAGCACCCCGCCUGGGGGAAGUACGGCCGCAAGGCUUAAAACUCAAAGGAAUUGACGGGGCCCCCGCAACAAGCGGCGGAGCAUGUUGCUUAAUUCGAUGCGACGCGAAGAACCUUACCUGGGCUUGACAUGCAGGGGUGAAACCCGUGAAAGCGGGUGGCUCUUCGGAGGCCUGCACAGGUGGUGCAUGGGCUGUCGUCAGCUCGUGCCGUGAGGUGUUGCCUUAAGUGGCGCAACGAGCGCAACCCCCUGUCCUUAGUUGCCAGCGGAUCAUGCCGGGAACUCUAGGGAGACUGCCGGUGCCAAAACCGGGAGGAAGGUGGGGAUGACGUCCAAGUCAUCAUGCCCCUUACGUCCAGGGCUGCAAACAUGCUACAAUGCUCGGUACAAAGGGCUGCGAUCCCGUAAGGGGGGAGCGAAAUCCCAGAAAGCCCGGGCUCAGUUCGGAUCGGGGUCUGCAACUCGACCCCCGUGAAGUUGGAAGGUCGCUAGUAAUCGCAAGAUCAGCACUGCUGCGGUGAAAUACGUUCCCGGGGCUUGUACACACCGCCCGUCACACCACGAAAGUGGGGCAACACCCGAAGCCGGUGGCCUAACCCUUGUGGAGGGAGCCGUCGGAAGGUGGGGGCUCGCGAUUGGGGUU